GGCCUAACACAUGCAAGUCGAGCGGCAGCAUGGGUAGUAGCAAUACUACCUGAUGGCAAGCGGCGGACGGGUGAGGAAUACGUAGGAAUCUACCCUCAAGCGGGGGACAACCAAGGGAAACUUUGGCUAAUACCGCAUAAUCUCGAGAGAGAAAAGUUGCCCGCAAGGGUGACACUUGAGGAGGAGCCUGCGUCCGAUUAGCUAGUUGGUAGGGUAAAAGCCUACCAAGGCAAUGAUCGGUAACUGGUCUGAGAGGACGACCAGUCACACUGGGACUGAGACACGGCCCAGACUCCUACGGGAGGCAGCAGUGGGGAAUAUUGGACAAUGGGGGCAACCCUGAUCCAGCGAUGCCGCGUGAGUGAAGAAGGCCUUCGGGUCGUAAAGCUCUUUAGGUUGGGAAGAAGUGCAUUCGGCGAAUAACCGAGUGUGUUGACGGUACCGACAGAA
rnacentral:rRNA from 1 species